rnacentral:ribozyme from 2 species
UAGUGUUGCGGCACUUACAAGCCCAUUAAGCCGCAAGCGUUAGCCCUUCCGGGGCUAGGUUGGG